GCUGCAGGCCGCCUUAUCGUUUCCGCUUAGGCGGGAGAGGAAAGUCCGGACACCAUAGGGAAGCAUAGCGGCUAACGGCCGUCAUCCCGCUACCAGCGGGAGAGGACCAGUGCAACAGAAAGGAUGUACAGGUAAUGCUGUAGUGAAAUCAGGUAAACUCUAUGCGGUGAAAUGCCACGUAUACCAGCGUUAAGGGUACCCGCCCGUGCUGGAGGGUAGGCAGAUAGACCCCGUUAGUAAUAGCGGGGCCAGAUAAAUGAUAAGGGUCCCGAAGUUACUUCGGGAUACAGAAUCCGGCUUAUAGGCCUGCAUUUUUU
rnacentral:RNase_P_RNA from 1 species